UACAGAGGUCUCGAGCGUUAGGCGGAAUCACUGGGCUUAAAGCGUGUGUAGGCGGGUCGUUAAGUGCCUUGUGAAAUCCCAUGGCUCAACCAUGGAACUGCUGGGCAUACUGGCGAUCUUGUGCCACCUAGGGGCGAGCGGAACAGAUGGUGGAGCGGUGAAAUGCGUAGAUAUCAUUUGGAACGCCAAUGGUGAAAACAGGUAGCUGGGAGUGUGCUGACGCUGAGACAUGAAAGCCAGGGGAGCGAACGGG
rnacentral:rRNA from 1 species